UACGGAGGAGGCAAGCGUUAUCCGGAAUUAUUGGGCGUAAAGCGUCCGUAGGUGGUUGACCAAGUCUGCUGUCAAAGGGUGGGGCUUAACCUCAUAAAGGCAGUGGAAACUGGUGAGCUAGAGUGCGGUAGGGGUAGGGGGAAUUCCCAGUGUAGCGGUGAAAUGCGUAGAGAUUUGGAAGAACAUCGGUGGCGAAAGCGCCCUGCUGGGCCUGCACUGACACUGAGGGACGAAAGCUAGGGGAGCGAAAGGG
rnacentral:rRNA from 1 species